rnacentral:tRNA from 1 species
AUCGCCUAAAAUCGGUACACCUAAGCUUGCCAAUGCCACUCUCAAUUGAUGGGUUUUUCCCGAAUGGGGUUUGAGAAGAUAAAGUCGC